AUUGAACGCUGGCGGCAUGCCUUACACAUGCAAGUCGAACGGUAACAGGUCUUCGGAUGCUGACGAGUGGCGAACGGGUGAGUAAUACAUCGGAACGUGCCUAGUAGUGGGGGAUAACUACUCGAAAGAGUGGCUAAUACCGCAUGAGAUCUACGGAUGAAAGCAGGGGAUCGCAAGACCUUGUGCUACUAGAGCGGCCGAUGGCAGAUUAGGUAGUUGGUGGGAUAAAAGCUUACCAAGCCGACGAUCUGUAGCUGGUCUGAGAGGACGAUCAGCCAAACUGGGACUGAGAAACGGCCCAGACUCCUAAGGGAGGCAGCAGUGGGGAAUUUUGGACAAUGGGCGCAAGCCUGAUCCAGCAAUGCCGCGUGCAGGAUGAAGGCCUUCGGGUUGUAAACUGCUUUUGUACGGAACGAAAAGCCCUGGGUUAAUACCCUGGGGUCAUGACGGUACCGUAAGAAUAAGCACCGGCUAACUACGUGCCAGCCGCCGCAGUAAGAC
rnacentral:rRNA from 1 species